AUAAAAAAUCCGCUAGUUUUGGGCUUUUGCAAAAUCGGGCCACCAUUUUCGUUUUUGCAAAUUCGGUUCGCUUUUUCAAAAAAGAUGACCAAAUUAUCCUUAUUUCAAAAUGCAUAAGAAAUACAUGCAUUAAUUGUCUUAAAAAAUAUAGCUGACAAAUUAUUACAGUUACUUUUUCUUGGAAAAUGAAAUUCUCAUUAACAUACAAAUAAAAAACUUCAAAUAAUAAAAGUAAAAAAGAAAAUAAAAUACACCUUAAAUUGUGCAACAUUGUUCCAAAUUGUGCAAUAUUUCUUCCAAAUAAUGUAAUAUUUGUGUAAACAGUGCAAUGUUUGCACAAUUUAUAUAAUGUUGUAUAAUUUUUUAUACUAAAUUACGAAUAAUAUAGUAUACUACGUGCAAAUAAUAUAACAUAUUACAAUAUACUAUAAAAAUCAUGUAUUAUAUGUAUAAACGGUGAAUAUUUUGCACUAUUUGUAUAAAUAUUUACACCAUUUGCAUAGAUGUUGUACUAUUAUGAGAAAAUGUUGCACAAUUUAGAUAUUAUGUUGCACUCUUUCUUUUUAAAAAUUAAAAUGUAUUGUAUAUAAAAUAAAGUGUUAAAUUUUUUGGAAAUGACAACUAUUAAGCCAUAAUUAUAUGUACCUUUCUGGAGAGAUUAGAAUUCUCAUUUAAUUAAGAUAAAAUAAAAAAUAAAAUAUCAUUAAUACAAUGAAAGAGUGCAAUAUCUUUUUAAAGAGUGCAACAGUCUCAAAUAGUGCAACAUUCUCUUCCAAAUAGUGCAAUAUUUAUGUAAAUAGUGCAAUAUAUGCAUCGUUAAUACACAUAUUGCAUGAUUUUUAUACAAAAAUACGAAUAAUAUAAUAUAUUACGUGAAAAUAACACGAAAAUAAUAUAACAUAUUAUAAUAUACUAUAAAAAUCAUGCAUUAUAUGUAUAAACGAUGAAUAUUUUGCACUCUUUGUACAAAUAUUUACACUAUUUGCAUAGAUGUUGCACUAUUAUGAGAUAAUAUUGCACCAUUUAGAUGUUAUGUUGCACUCUUUUUUAAAAAAAAAUUAAGUGUAUUGUAUAUUAAAUAUAGUGUUAAAUUUUUUGAAAAUGACAACUGUUAAGUCAUAAUUAUAUGUACCUUUCUCGAGAGACGAGAAUUCUUAUUUAAUUAAGAUAAAAUAAAAAAUAAAAUAUCAUUAGAGUCCAAUAUCCUCUUAAAGAGUGUAGCAUAGUCUCAAAUAGUGCAAUAUCCUCUUAAAAAGUGCAGCAUAGUUUCAAAUAGUGCAACAUUCUCUUUCAAAUAGUGCAAUGUUUAUGUAAAUAGUGCAAUAUAUGUAUCGUUAAUACACAUAUUGAAUGAUUUUUAUACAAAAUUACGAAUAAUAUAAUAUAUUACGUGGAAAUAACACGAAAAUAAUAUAACAUAUCACAAAAUACUAUAAAAAUCAUACAUUAUAUUAUAAAUGGUGCAUAUUUUGUACUAUUUGUAUAAAUAUUUAUACCAUUUGUAUAUAUAUUGCACUAUUAUGAGAGAAUAUUGCACCAUUUAGAUGGUAUGUAUUGCAUGAUUUUUAUACAAAAUUACGAAUAAUAUAAUAUAUUACGUGAAAAUAACACGAAAAUAAUAUAAUAUAUUAUAAUAUACUAUAAAAAUCAUGCAUUAUAUGUAUAAACGAUGAAUAUUUUGCACUCUUUGUACAAAUAUUUACACUAUUUGCAUAGAUGUUGCACUAUUAUGAGAUAAUAUUGCACCAUUUAGAUGUUAUGUUGCACUCUUUUUUAAAAAAAAAUUAAGUGUAUUGUAUAUUAAAUAUAGUGUUAAAUUUUUUGAAAAUGACAACUGUUAAGUCAUAAUUAUAUGUACCUUUCUCGAGAGACGAGAAUUCUUAUUUAAUUAAGAUAAAAUAAAAAAUAAAAUAUCAUUAGAGUCCAAUAUCCUCUUAAAGAGUGUAGCAUAGUCUCAAAUAGUGCAAUAUCCUCUUAAAAAGUGCAGCAUAGUUUCAAAUAGUGCAACAUUCUCUUUCAAAUAGUGCAAUGUUUAUGUAAAUAGUGCAAUAUAUGUAUCGUUAAUACACAUAUUGAAUGAUUUUUAUACAAAAUUACGAAUAAUAUAAUAUAUUACGUGGAAAUAACACGAAAAUAAUAUAACAUAUCACAAAAUACUAUAAAAAUCAUACAUUAUAUUAUAAAUGGUGCAUAUUUUGUACUAUUUGUAUAAAUAUUUAUACCAUUUGUAUAUAUAUUGCACUAUUAUGAGAGAAUAUUGCACCAUUUAGAUGGUAUGUAUUGCAUGAUUUUUAUACAAAAUUACGAAUAAUAUAAUAUAUUACGUGAAAAUAACACGAAAAUAAUAUAAUAUAUUAUAAUAUACUAUAAAAAUCAUGCAUUAUAUGUAUAAACGGUGAAUAUUUUGCACUCUUUGUACAAAUAUUUACACUAUUUGCAUAGAUGUUGCACUAUUAUGAGAUAAUAUUGCACCAUUUAGAUGUUAUGUUGCACUCUUUUUUAAAAAAAAAUUAAGUGUAUUGUAUAUUAAAUAUAGUGUUNAAGGCUUGCCCAUCUUCGAGCAGGAAGGGGGCGCCGCACGGGCUUUACGAAGAAAAAAGUUUUGUCCGUGACAGUUGGUAUCAGAGCGAGGAUUAUCAGAGCGAGGAUUAUCAGAGCGAGUUCGUAGCUGGGAGCUAUGUUGUCAUCAGACGUUGUCAUCGUCGAUAUAGCUGCUGAGCCUUCGUUGCUGACCAAGCGGGAAAGGUGCAAGGAGUCGCAGGCACUUGAGUAGGAGUCCCUCUCCUUGAAGUACCGUGCGGGGCUGCAGAAGGAUGUUACGACGAGCGAGAUGCGUAAGAUGUGCUGCUUCAGGACAUCAGUGCCCAGGUCAGGUAGGUCAUGGACCUCGCGACGAGGGUGGCACUAUCCGAGCAGACCGAGAGUGAUCAUGGUAAGCCCCAAUGGCGAGCUAGGCCAAAGGUGGGGGAGUGUACCGUGAUAUAGGGAACGCAGAGAAG
rnacentral:lncRNA from 1 species